rnacentral:rRNA from 1 species
UACGUAGGGUGCAAGCGUUGUCCGGAAUUAUUGGGCGUAAAGAGCUCGUAGGCGGUUCGUCGCGUCGGCUGUGAAAACCCGGAGCUCAACUCCGGGCCUGCAGUCGAUACGGGCGGACUUGAGUGUUGCAGGGGAGACUGGAAUUCCUGGUGUAGCGGUGAAAUGCGCAGAUAUCAGGAGGAACACCGGUGGCGAAGGCGGGUCUCUGGGCCGAUACUGACACUGAGGAGCGAAAGCGUGGGGAGCGAACAGG